CGACAUCGAGUCAAUCUGCUAUUUUUCGUGAUUAUUAUAUAUAAAAAUAUAUUUGACUACAAUAUUAGUAUUAGUUGCAAUAAAAUACUAAGCUGCAGAUUUAAGUGACGGUUCCUUCCAAAAUGGAAAUCGGGGACAGCAAUUCAUCAGAUGCGCCGGCGAACAAAAAACAAAAAAUUUCGGAUGUUUGGAAGCAUUUCCAACUAAAUGGACCACCUUAAGCGUGCUCAUCCUCUGCACGCCGAGCAGGCGAAGCCCGGCAGCACAUUUUUUUAAAAACGAUGACAUCUACGGCAAUAAUUCCACGCGGAAAGCAGACAUUGAUUUGGCGUUGGCAAGAAUGAUUGCUAUAGAAGUUAAUGCUGCCCACCAAUAAUAUCAACACGCACCUUUGCUGCUGGCAAAAAUUGAAUUCUCUUUAUUCAACAAAUUUACUUAGUUUUUAUAAUCAAAUUUUGCUUACUUACUAAAAACUUACAUAUGUAUGUACGAGUUCUUACUAGCUAGAACUUAUUUCUAGACAUCAAAUAAUCAUAAUGUAAGCUAAAACCAGUGCGAA